rnacentral:lncRNA from 1 species
AAUCUUAAAUAUGUUGGGCACUGGGCAGUAUGCCGCUUAUAAGGCAGGACUUGCAGCUUGCAAAUGAUGCCACCAUGGUUGAUGAAUCUAUAAAAUGAUAAGAUUGAGAAGUCUCCAUUGGUGCUCCACUCCAUAUAUGCUCACAAAUAGCUAUGAUCACCUGCUUGGGAGUGUUGGAAAAGAGUUAUGGGAACAAGAUGGUCAGCUAGUGAUCGCCCACCC